rnacentral:rRNA from 1 species
CCUACGGGAGACAGCAGUCGAGAAUCAUUCACAAUGGGGGAAACCCUGAUGGUGCGACGCCGCGUGGGGGAAUGCAGGUCUUCGGAUUGUAAACCCCUGUCAUGUGGGAGCAAAUUAACAAGAUAGUACCACAAUAGGAAGAGCCGGCUAACUCUGUGCCAGCAGCCGCGGUAAUACAGAGGUCUCAAGCGUUGUUCGGAAUCACUGGGCGUAAGGCGUGCGUAGGCUGUUUCGUAAGUCGUGUGUGAAAGGCGCGGGCUCAACCCGCGGACGGCACAUGAUACUGCGAGACUAGAGUAAUGGAGGGGGAACCGGAAUUCUCGGUGUAGCAGGGAAAUGCGUAGAUAUCGAGAGGAACACUCGUGGCGAAGGCGGGUUCCUGGACAUUAACUGACGCUGAGGCACGAAGGCCAGGGGAGCGAAAGGGAUUAGAUACCCCAGUAGUC